AUUGAACGCUGGCGGCAGGCUUAACACAUGCAAGUCGAGCGGGGGAAGGUAGCUUGCUACCGGACCUAGCGGCGGACGGGUGAGUAAUGCUUAGGAAUCUGCCUAUUAGUGGGGGACAACAUCUCGAAAGGGAUGCUAAUACCGCAUACGUCCUACGGGAGAAAGCAGGGGAUCUUCGGACCUUGCGCUAAUAGAUGAGCCUAAGUCGGAUUAGCUAGUUGGGGGGGUAAAGGCCUACCAAGGCGACGAUCUGUAGCGGGUCUGAGAGGAUGCACCGCCACACUGGGACGGAGACGCGGCCCAGACUCCUACGGGAGGCAGCAGUGGGGAAUAUUGGACAAUGGGGGGAACCCUGAUCCAGCCAUGCCGCGUGUGUGAAGAAGGCCUUAUGGUUGUAAAGCACUUUAAGCGAGGAGGAGGCUACUCUAGUUAAUACCUAGGGAUAGUGGACGUUACUCGCAGAAUAAGCACCGGCUAACUCUGUGCCAGCCGCCGCAGUAA
rnacentral:rRNA from 1 species